CUUCUGGGAAAUAUGAUAACCAAGGACCGUAUCAGCCGCAGCCCCUUGAAUAUGCAUCUCCAGGCAAAUCUGGUGGAGAAUAUGAUGCAGCUGGUUUACC